CCUACGGGUGGCAGCAGUGGGGAAUAUUGCACAAUGGGCGCAAGCCUGAUGCAGCCAUGCCGCGUGUGUGAAGAAGGCCUUCGGGUUGUAAAGCACUUUCAGCGGGGAGGAAGGCGUUAAGGUUAAUAACCUUGGCGAUUGACGUUACCCGCAGGAGAAGCACCGGCUAACUCCGUGCCAGCAGCCGCGGUAAUACGGAGGGUGCAAGCGUUAAUCGGAAUUACUGGGCGUAAAGCGCACGAAGGCGGUCUGUCAAGUCGGAUGUGAAAUCCCCGGGCUCAACCUGGGAACUGCAUUCGAAACUGGCAGGCUAGAGUCUUGUAGAGGGGGGUAGAAUUCCAGGUGUAGCGGUGAAAUGCGUAGAGAUCUGGAGGAAUACCGGUGGCGAAGGCGGCCCCCUGGACAAAGUCUGACGCUCAGGUGCGAAAGCGUGGGGAGCAAACAGGAUUAGAUACCCUAGUAGUC
rnacentral:rRNA from 1 species